UGGUGUUCAGUAUAUUUACCUGUGAAA
rnacentral:piRNA from 1 species